GGGCUUGUUAUUCAAUGCCCAAUUUCAGUACCUAAGAAGUAAAUCACAUCAGUGUCAGUGAGCCAAUAAACACGUAGCAUGCUUUUACAAAGAUCUAAUAAUGUCUGUGAUUGGCUGUCUAACGUUGUAGAGACGGGGCUCACGUAGUAAGAGCUGAAACAUAAAUAAGAUUUGUCCGUUAAUGAGUAAUGUUGUAAUUGUUUUUUGUUUUAUAAAAUAUG